rnacentral:rRNA from 1 species
CAGUAGCCGCGGGAAAACGGAGGGGGCUAGCGUUGUUCGGAAUUACUGGGCGUAAAGCGCACGUAGGCGGCUUGAUAAGUUAGAGGUGAAAGCCUGGAGCUCAACUCCAGAAUUGCCUUUAAGACUGCCGAGCUAGCAGGUGAGAGAGGUAAGUGGAAUUCCGAGUGUAGAGGUGAAAUUCGUAGAUAUUCGGAAGAACACCAGUGGCGAAGGCGGCUUACUGGCUCAUACUGGACGCUGAGGUGCGAAAGCGUGGGGAGCAAACAGGAUUAGAUACCCCAGUAGUCCCUGUCUCUUAUAC